UUCAAUUACUUUAUUAAUUAACUUUAUCAAAUUUAAACCAAGAAUAAAAAUGUUCUUAUAAAUUAAUUAGACGACAAGACCCUUUUGAACUUUACUAUUGUUUAGCUGGGGUAGCUAUAAAAUAUUAAUCUUCUUAACUUUAUUUAUAUAAAUGACCCAAUUCAAUUGAUUAUUUGAACAAGUUACCAUAGGGAUAACAGCGUAAUAUUUUUUAAAAGUUCUUAUUUAAAAAAAUGAUUGCGACCUCGAUGUUGAAUUAAUGUAACUUUAUUGAUGAAGUAAUCAUAAAAGUUGGUCUGUUCGACCAUUAAAACAUUACGUGAUCUGAG
rnacentral:rRNA from 1 species